GUCCCUUGAAGAUGACCUCUGUUGAUCAGGGCAUCUAAGGAGACCAAAUCAUGGGCCACUUGGGAUCACAGUGAGUCAAGGCAUGUGGUUGAUUCCUGCGAGUGUCAGCCACCAAAUAUUGCCAUCUCUCUUGCCGCCUGCAGGAAGCCUCAUUUACACGGAGUACUCCCAUCCCCCUCUCCACUCCCCUUCCCCACACCCACUUCAGGACACCUCUCCUCCACCCCUGUGCCUCAGUACCUCGUGUCUUGCUUCUUGGCAUCUCCAACUCUUGAAGGACUCUGCCUGUCUUCCCCUGUUGUGUAACAUACAUGGGGCCUGCCUGUCCUGCACUGUGUAACACACGCUUCUCCUCCAGGAGAAACAGAUGACUUGCACCGACAUCAACACCUUAACGAGGCAGAAGGAACUUCUCCUGCAGAAGCUGAGCACCUUUGAAGAGACCAACCGCACCCUCCGAGAUCUGUUGAGGGAGCAGCACUGCAAAGAGGAUUCCGAGAGACUAAUGGAGCAACAAGGUGCAUUACUGAAACGUCUGGCAGAGGCCGACUCAGAGAAAGCGCGCCUGCUGUUACUACUGCAAGACAAGGACAAGGAAGUGGAAGAACUCCUCCAGGAGAUACAAUGUGAGAAGGCUCAAGCAAAGACAGCGUCUGAGCUCUCCAAGUCCAUGGAGUCCAUGCGGGGGCAUUUGCAGGCACAGCUUCGCUGCAAAGAGGCUGAGAACAGCCGCCUGUGCAUGCAGAUCAAGAAUUUAGAGCGCAGUGGGAACCAGCA
rnacentral:lncRNA from 1 species